CGCGUAGGCGGCCUGCUAAGUCUGGAGUGAAAGUCCCGCUUUCAAGGUGGGAAUUGCUUUGGAUACUGGUGGGCUGGAGUGCAGGAGAGGAAAGCGGAAUUACCGGUGUAGCGGUGAAAUGCGUAGAGAUCGGUAGGAACACCAGUGGCGAAGGCGGCUUUCUGGACUGAAACUGACGCUGAGGCGCGAAAGCGUGGGGAGCAAACA
rnacentral:rRNA from 1 species